rnacentral:rRNA from 1 species
UAACGAAUCUUCCGCAAUGCACGAAAGUGUGACGGAGCGACGCCGCGUGGAGGAGAAGCCCUUCGGGGUGUAAACUCCUGUCAGGGGAAAGAAAGUUCUGAUCUACCCCAGAGGAAGGCACGGCUAACUCUGUGCCAGCAGCCGCGGUAAGACAGAGGUGCCGAGCGUUAGGCGGAAUCACUGGGCUUAAAGCGUGUGUAGGCGGACUUCUAAGUACCUUGUGAAAUCCCACGGCUCAACCGUGGAACUGCUUGGUAUACUGGUCGUCUUGAGCCACCUAGGGGCAACCGGAACAAACGGUGGGGCGGUGAAAUGCGUAGAUAUCGUUUGGAACGCCAAUGGUGAAAACAGGUUGCUGGGGGUGUGCUGACGCUGAGACACGAAAGCCAGGGGAGCAAAC